AACGUGGAUAGCCGAUACCAGCUUGGAAUUAGCCAAGGCGGAGCUGCGGGCGAAAUCGUUAGAUUAUUCCAUGUCGCCUCGUUCUUCAAAGGGAG
rnacentral:sRNA from 1 species